rnacentral:rRNA from 1 species
UUGUCUCAAAGAUUAAGCCAUGCAUGUCUCAGUACAAGCCAAAUUAAGGUGAAACCGCGAAAGGCUCAUUAAAUCAGUUAUGGUUCCUUAGAUCGUACCCACAUUUACUUGGAUAACUGUGGUAAUUCUAGAGCUAAUACAUGCAAACAGAGCUCCGACCGGAGACGGAAGGAGCGCUUUUAUUAGAUCAAAACCAAUCGGUGGCGGUUCCCGUCAUCGUACAACCUGGUGACUCUGAAUAACUUUACGCUGAUCGCACGGUCUCGCACCGGCGACGCAUCUUUCAAAUGUCUGCCUUAUCAACUGUCGAUGGUAGGUUCUGCGCCUACCAUGGUUGUAACGGGUAACGGGGAAUCAGGGUUCGAUUCCGGAGAGGGAGCCUGAGAAACGGCUACCACAUCCAAGGAAGGCAGCAGGCGCGCAAAUUACCCACUCCCGGCACGGGGAGGUAGUGACGAAAAAUAACGAUACGGGACUCAUCCGAGGCCCCGUAAUCGGAAUGAGUACACUCUAAACCCUUUAACGAGGAUCAAUUGGAGGG